AUUGAACGCUGGCGGCAGGCCUAACACAUGCAAGUCGAACGGUAACAGGAAGAAUCUUGCUUCUUUGCUGACGAGUGGCGGACGGGUGAGUAAUGUCUGGGAAACUGCCUGAUGGAGGGGGAUAACUACUGGAAACGGUAGCUAAUACCGCAUAACGUCGCAAGACCAAAGAGGGGGACCUUCUGGCCUCUUGCCAUCGGAUGUGCCCAGAUGGGAUUAGCUAGUAGGUGGGGUAACGGCUCACCUAGGCGACGAUCCCUAGCUGGUCUGAGAGGAUGACCAGCCACACUGGAACUGAGACACGGACCAGACUCCUACGGGAGGCAGCAGUGGGGAAUAUUGCACAAUGGGCGCAAGCCUGAUGCAGCCAGGCCGCGUGUAUGAAGAAGGCCUUCGGGUUGUAAAGUACUUUCAGCGGGGAGGAAGGGAGUAAAGUUAAUACCUUGGCUCAUUGACGUUACCCGCAGAAGAAGCACCGGCUAACUCCGUG
rnacentral:rRNA from 1 species